AACCUUGUCGGACAAUUUUCACGGGGCAUAUGCGCAGUCGGACGCGCCGAAGAUGUCAAUUUCCUGAAAUUUUUUUAUUUACAACCAUUUUUCCGACAACAUUAGUAGGUUAUAAGUAAUUAUAUUCUUAAUCAAAAAAUCAAAGUGUCGGACAAAAAUAUUGGGGCAACUCGACAGUCGGACAAAAAAUGUAUUUUUAUUAGUAAAGUAUACUUUCAAAUUAUGCUGGGUUCGUGCAUCCCUUAUCUUUACAACCAUUUUUCCGACAAAAGUAGUAGGUUACAAGUAAUUAUAUUCUUAAACAAAAAAUAUAGUUGUCUGACAAAAAUGUUGGGGCAAACUAACACAAAACUUAAUUCUUUUAGGCUAUCGACGAGGAGGUAUUAUCAAAAAAAAAUUUUAAAACAGUGUUUCUCGGUUACUUUUGAAUCGAUUUAGCUGAAAAUUGGUACACACACUAAGUAAAGCAUUUAAAAGGGUAUGACGUAGAUCGGAACCCAAAAUUAUCUUAAAAAAUUUUCCGACAAGAGGGAAAAUUUUAGAAAAAUUGUGAUCUGAUAAUUUGUGUACAUACUCCUUGAACAACGACAAACAUCGUUCUGUAGUUUUUUUUUGUCGAAAUAAAAAAAAUUUCCGACACAAGU